GUAGGUGAACCUGCGGAAGGAUCAUUAAAGGAAUCUGCCAUUUGGUCGUAAAAAAGCCAAAAGGGCAGCCCAAGAUCAACCCAACUGUGCGCACGCAUCGAACUUUUUUUUUGCUUUUGGUAGGCAUCGUUCAAAUUUUUUGUUUGGACGAUUCUGCCAUAAGUAAUGCCCAAUGUAAAUACAAGCCUCAUUUUGUGACUGAAAUUUUUUUAAAUAAAAAAAUACAACUUUCAACAACGGAUCUCUUGGCUCUC
rnacentral:misc_RNA from 1 species